rnacentral:rRNA from 1 species
AUUGAACGCUGGCGGUAUGCUUAACACAUGCAAGUCGAACGGCAGCACGAGAGAGCUUGCUCUCUUGGUGGCGAGUGGCGGACGGGUGAGUAACGCGUAGGAAUCUGCCUAGUAGUGGGGGACAACUCGGGGAAACUCGAGCUAAUACCGCAUACGCCCUACGGGGGAAAGCGGGGGAUCUUCGGACCUCGCGCUAUUAGAUGAGCCCGCGUUGGAUUAGCUUGUUGGUGAGGUAAUGGCUCACCAAGGCGACGAUCCAUAGCUGGUCUGAGAGGACGAUCAGCCACACUGGGACUGAGUCACGGCCCAGACUCCUACGGGAGGCAGCAGUGGGGAAUAUUGGACAAUGGGCGAAAGCCUGAUCCAGCAAUACCGCGUGUGUGAAGAAGGCCUGCGGGUUGUAAAGCACUUUCAAUUGGGAAGAAAAGCUUAGGGUUAAUAACCCUGAGUCUUGACGUUACCUUUAGAAGAAGCACCGGCUAACUCCGUGCCAGCAGCCGCGGUAAUACGGAGGGUGCAAGCGUUAAUCGGAAUUACUGGGCGUAAAGCGCGCGUAGGUGGUUUUGUAAGUCAGAUGUGAAAGCCCUGGGCUCAACCUGGGAAUUGCAUUUGAUACUGCAUGACUAGAGUAUAGUAGAGGGAAGCGGAAUUCCGGGUGUAGCGGUGAAAUGCGUAGAUAUCCGGAGGAACAUCAGUGGCGAAGGCGGCUUCCUGGACUAAUACUGACACUGAGGUGCGAAAGCGUGGGUAGCAAACAGGAUUAGAUACCCUGGUAGUCCACGCCGUAAACGAUGUCAACUAGCCGUUGGACUCAUUAUAAGGGUUUAGUGGCGAAGCUAACGCGAUAAGUUGACCGCCUGGGGAGUACGGCCGCCAGGAUA